CGAAGCCUCCGUCCGGCCGCCCGCACGGAGCCGAGCGGCGCGGAAGGGGCGUCCGCCCGGUGCCUCGGCCUCGCUCAGCGGUCCCGGUGGCGGGGGCUGAGCUCGGGCGGGGCGCGCUGCCGCCCGCCGAUGGCGGAGCGCCAGGCGGUGCUUUGCUGCCGCGGGCCGGGAGCUGCAGGAGCCACCCCGGGCGAGCGGCGCCGGGCGCUGCCGCGGUCACUGUGCGGCGGCUGCCCUCGGGCUGGCGGAGGCGCGGGAGCCGCCGAGCUGCAGCCGUCUCCCUCGGGCCGCUGCCGCUGCUGCGGGCGGGGGCGGACGAGCGGCUGCGGAGGCGGCUCCGCGGCGUGCUCAGCCUUGCGAGCAGAGAGCGCUCGACAUCGCUGGCAUGACACGGCUGCUGAGUGCCUCAGUGCUCGUGGCUCUUUCUUCCACGCAAACAGAUGGAGCGGCAUCGCUGAGCAGUAAAACACAGCGAUGGCCCGGAGAAUGGCGAGCGCAAGGAGCGCCGGGCAGGAUCCUUCUGAUGGCACAGUGCCAGGAGUCUGGAGAAACUGGAGAAGAGCCCAAGAGACAUUUUUCAUCCUGAGAUACAAAAGGGCAGGGAAGGACUCUCGUAUCCCGGUCGUCAGACUCAGCGCUGCCCGAGAAGAUACAGAGACUGUAAAAAUCAUAAGAAGCAACUAGGACUGCAGAGGAAACAAACUGGAGAGAACAAAAGGUCGUGCUCUGAUGCAUUUACAGAAGCCAUGGCAGGAGAGAGUCAGCUGCUGGAGAAGAGGAGACAGUACUAUCCCUGUGCAGCACAGAACUGUGCUGCUGCUGUGUCAUCAGCUGUGUCUGCACUGAAAGUAGCCACCUUCACUUGUAGGUAGCUCCUUGGUGCUUUAGGACACGCUGAGGGAUUUAUUCCUUUUGGGAUCCACGAUGAGAAUUCCCAAGAGAGGUAGUAGUAAUAAGGUCUGAGAUUGGAAAAAAGCCUGUGUCCUUGGAAUGUUGUUGUUGUCGUCCAAAGUUAAUUUUUCCUUCUUUCUUAGCCAGUAGUCGGCUUUUUGCUUUAUUUUUUGUGGUAUCAGUAUUUGAUUGUUUAAAAAAUUGCUUCAAAAGAACUGCA